rnacentral:rRNA from 1 species
UACGAAGGUCCCAAGCGUUAUCCGGAUUUAUUGGGUUUAAAGGGUGCGUAGGCGGACUAUUAAGUCAGUGGUGAAAGCCCCCAGCCUAACUGGGGAACUGCCAUUGAUACUGAUGGUCUUGAGUACAUUUGAGGUGGGCGGAAUGUGUCAUGUAGCGGUGAAAUGCUUAGAUAUCGUCAAGAACACCGAUAGUGUAGACAGCUAACUAAGCUCUAACUGACGCUGAGUCACGAAAGUGUGGAGAUCAAACAGG